rnacentral:rRNA from 1 species
ACUCCUACGGGAGGCAGCAGUGGGGAAUAUUGCACAAUGGGGAAAGACCCUGAUGCAGCCAUGCCGCGUGUGUGAAGAAGGCCUUCGGGUUGUAAAGCACUUUCAGUAGGGAGGAAGGUAGUGUAGUUAACACCUGCAUUAUUUGACGUUACCUUACAGAAGAAGCACCGGCUAAACUCCGUGCCAGCAGCCGCGGUAAUACGGAGGGUGCGAGCGUUAAUCGGAAUUACUGGGCGUAAAGCGCAUGCAGGCGGCCUGUUAAGUCAGA